AAUCUAUUUUAUUGCUAAUUAAAAUAGUUUAUUUUAAUGUAGGUUUGCAAAAUUGCUCUCUGAUAAGAAGAAACUCCGAGCAAACAAAGCGUCUUUUUAAUUCAAGGUCUCGAGUUGUGUUAGUAACCUUACUAUGCUAAAUAAUAAGCGCUUGCAAUAUUUAUGAUUGCGCGCAUUUAAGUAUUUCAACCUCAAAAAUAAAGGAGGAGUUUGAGGGAUAAAUUUCAAUAGAAAUGUCUCUCUAUGUAAUGUAUGUUUGGAUUAUGUAACCUUUUGGUUGUGUUAAAUGUUUAAAUAAAUUAUCGUAAUUUUGUGUUUUGGCAUUUGAAUCUUUUUUUCUAAGCAAAAAGAAAAGAAAUAAAAAUUUGAAGUGCC
rnacentral:lncRNA from 1 species